CAAUGCAAACAUUUAUAGGUUAUUAUAUAUUGUUAGAUUAGAUUUUUAAAUAAACUUAAUUUAAUUUUUUUUAUAUAUAUUAUUUUAAGGAUGUGCUAAUGCUAAAAAGCACACUGCUGGCUCAUCAGAUAAGAAUAUAGUUAUCCAUUCUUGUGAUUAUAAUAGACAAAAAGAUUCUUUUAGGCCUCUAUUAAAUACAAAUCAAUUAUAAAAAAAGAUAUUACCAGAGGAUACUUCUGCAAAAAUGAACAAUGUACUCCACAUACUACCACAUGGAACUAAUAUUAGGCCAUUAAAUCCUUUUAGUAAUAGACCACUUUUAUAAUAUUUAAUAUUUAUUUCUUUAAGGGAUUUUACCAAAUAAUAUGCCCAAACUGACAUUACCAUUAAAAAACACCACAAAUGUCCCAACUUCAAAUUUUUCUUUUGUGAAAGUUGGGAAUAUAUCUACAAGCUCAAAUCAAAUUAGAAC